rnacentral:rRNA from 1 species
AGGAAGCCCAAGCAACUGCGAUUGCUUCAGUAAAGGCGAUUGAACUGGCAUCACACAUGGCUCAGCCCGAAAAGAGAUUCCCUCCUGCACUGCCUUGGCAGACUGCAGUCGGCUACUGUGGGUUUCACCAGAUGCUGUGGGCUAUGGAGUGGGUGGCUGUGUUGUGGCUGGCUGUGGCACCAGGAAGCACCCUGGAAUGGUUUGCAACAGAGGGAUAUUGCCCCGUACUCACUGGAGUGUGCCAUGGCCACCGCAGCAUUGCUGCCUGUAUCCAAGAGUAGAGCGGCUUGGGACUGCAGUUUGAAGUGGGACGUGUAUCCGUCCUAAGGUGGAAUACUGACAUGGGACCGAUAGAGCACAAGUAGAGUGAUUGAAGGAUGCAAAGGACUUUGCAAAGAGGGUUAAAAGUCCCUGAAGCCUCACAUGAAUCGGCGGUGAGUAGUGCUGUGGCCUAUGUGGUGCAGGCAGUGGACUGUGCUGGCUGGACUGUGUGCCUGCUGGCCAGAUCCCUGUCUCACCCAGUGAGAUUCCAAGCAGCCUUGGGCCAGCCCAGAGCUGGCCACUGAGCCUAUUCCUUCAGGAGUGGAUUGCAAUCGUGGCAGCAUUGCUGGUGGCACUCAGUAUGCCAGGGCCUGAGGUUGUUGAGAACUCAGAGGGCUUACGUCAACACAAGGCCUCUCCAGGUGUGGAGUGUGGUGGACUCCGUCUCCUCACGGUGUUGGAAGAAUCCCACCCCCACCAAGGGGAUGGCUGAGUGAUGGAAGAGCUUGUGACACAGAGUGCUGGACCUGGUGUGCCUCCGGGCAUGCCAGUCACUGCUGCCCAGACAUGGCUUCGGGGUUCACUGGUUUGUGGUGGUUGCACCACACGUUGGUGGCCACGGCAGGCUGUGUGGAUCCUCCAGAUGGUGCACAGUGUAGAUGCGCAGAGCUUGGUGCAUGGCAGUGCUGCUCACUGCCCGUCUUGAAACACGGACCAAGGAGUCUAUGGAGCUUGCAGGUCUGCUGGUGUCAUCAUGGAAAACCCUUCAAGGGCAUGGUGAAAGCAACUUCUACCCAGAUGGUGCAGUUUGUGGUGAAUGGCAGAAAACCCACCCSAGGAGUGGGCAGUGUGGCUCCCGCUGUGUGCCCCUCCAGAGGUGACAGAGUAUGCCAUGGCUUGUGACUGCUUCUGCAUGGGACACCGGUCCCAAUGUCCAGUGGACAGGGUUUUGAGUGCUUGCAAGGUCCAUGGGACCCGAAAGGUGGUGAACUAUACCGUACCAUGAUGAAGCCGUGGGAAACUGCGGUGGAGGUCAGUCGCUGUUCUGACGUGCAAAUUGUGUAGCCUGAGUGUGGCAUAGGGGUGAAAGGCCAAUCGAGCCACCUAGUAGCUGGUUUCCCUCGAAGUUUCCCUCAGGAUAGCUGGGCUCGAGUGCACCCAGACUGUGAGUGGUUAUGUCCGGUAAAGCAACGCAUGAGAGGCAACCCUGGGGAGGCUUCCCUCCUCAACCUAUUCUCGAACUGUGAAUGGGCAUGGCAAACCCAAAAGGCAUGCUUCUUCACCGAUGCCUGAGGCAGUUAACCCUGUUCUCCAUGGCUUCUGAGCAUGUUUGUGGUGGCUGCUUUGGUGUCAAACCGGGGACCCUGUGUCUCCAGAGACAACCUGCCUGCGUGCUCCGUGGUCACUCCAGCUCCUGGCCUGGACUCUGCUGCUGAGGAAGUGAGGAGGAAUGCUGGUGAACACAGAAGCCCUUUGUGGGUGACCGUGAGUAGCCUGUCUUCUGAGGAGCUGACUUGGUGGCAAGUCCAAGUGCCAAAUGGAGAUCUGCUGGACCCAGGACCGCAUCUUUGGGUGCUGAGUUGAUGUCUCAACAAGACUGAAGCUGCUACUGUGGUGAACAAGUGUGCCUAUGUGGACCAGGAUUGGUAAGCAGUGCUGGUGAUGCGGGGUGCUCCGAGAGUGGACUUACAGAUCCCGAGUGCUGGCUCAUACAUAGAUCCCACAAAGGAUGUUGCCUGCUAUGGAUAGCAGGACGGUGGCCAUGAAGGUUGGAACCCGCUGAGGAAUGUGUAACAACUCACCUGCCGAAGUGUGCAGCUCCGAAAAUGGAUGGUGCCCAAGUCAGUGAAGCUGAACUUGCCUUACAGUCCACCGCCACUGUGGCAGCAGAGCAGAGCAUUGUUGUGUAGAAAGGACUUGGGAGACUGCUGUGCAAGCUGGGGUUGACCCUGGCUGGAGUGUCUUCUGGCGCAGAUCUUGGUUGCAGUAGCGAGUACUCCAUCGAGUGAAGAGUGGAAACAUCCCGCUGUGUGUGGUUGAGGACUGGAGUGGAGCAGGUUUCCGCACCAAACAGCCGUUGAAUGCGGGUCAACCGACCGUGAGCCAAGUGGUAAAUCACCAGACAACCAAAGCUGCCAUGGCCUGGAUUGGAUCUGAAGGAGAAUGGUGGGUACUGUGGCUGGGUCCCUGGACUGCCCUGCGGUCACCACGGUGUCCAACGGUGUCAGCCCACACCCAAGCCCAGAGGCAGAGCAGAAGGCCCCCAUUGUGCCUGAGGAUUGGUCCAGGUGUCUGGCAGGAGUGGCAAACAGGCAAGCAUGUGCAACAUUCUGCUGUGAUGGGCUUGGGACACCUCAAGUGACGGUGACAUCUUGUGAUCUUGUGCUCAGGCAUCGGGGCAGUGCACCCUCCAUGGAGUUCUCGUUUCCUCCUGAUGCAGUCUCAUGUGGGCUACCAAUCAGCAUGACAGAUGGUGACGUAUGCCCUCCGUUCAGCAAGGCAGCAUGCUCUCAGUGCUGGUGGUGUCUCCCAAAGUGACUUGGCAGUCUGUGUGUGUGUUCUGUGUGGAUCCCCUGUUGACACAGGGGGAAGCAUCAGAGACAUCAUGGAAUGGCAAAACAAGACCACACGGUGGUCACUGGCUCCACUGAACAGCCUGUGGCAACAUUGUGUCCCUGGUCCCUGGCCCUCGUACUGAAUCACCGCAGCCGGUCUCCUCGGCUAAACGCCGCUGGUCAACGGAUUGAAUGCAGCUAAGGGAAGUCGGCAAACUAGCCAUGUACCUUUGGAAGAUGUGGUGGCUCCAGAGGCCAAGUCAUUGGGCCCCGCUGCAGGCAGCAUCUUUGUUGGGGAGAUUGCCUUGUGUGGUGGCUUCGGUUGCUGUGUGGGGAUUGAUCACCCCAGCUGGUGCUGUUAUGGCUUGCUAUGCAGAGUCUCUGUGGUGGGGGGUCAGGAAGCCUUCGGGCAUCCUGUGCCCACCCCGGUGUCUACACAGUGGCCCACUUGGAACUGUUGCUGUGCAAGGGAAUCUGACUGUUUAAUUGAAACACAGCUUUGUGACGGGACCAGCUGGCUGGUACCAUGAGGUGACUUCUGCCCAGUGCUCUGAUUGUCAUGCAGAAGAGAUUCAUGCAAGCGCGGGUAAACGGCGGGAGUAACUAUGACUCUCUUAAGGUAGCCAAAUGCCUCGUCAACCAAUUAUUGACGCGCAUGAAUGGAUCAACUGAGAUUCCUGCUGUCCCUAGGUGCUGUCCGGUGAACCAACAGCCAAGGGAACGGGCUUGGGCGUGUCAGCGGGGAAA